rnacentral:tRNA from 1 species
GCGGGUAUAGUUCAACGGUAGAACGCCAGCCUUCCAAGCUGGUCAUAGGGGUUCGAUUCCCCUUACCCGCUCCA